ACUUCAUUUCCUGACUGCUGCAAGCCAGACCGUUGUCUCUGUUGUUCUUUCCCAGAUGUUCCCCAGCAUGGCCAUGUUGCUUGAAGCUGUGCUUUGCCUCUGUCUGAGAUGGCCUCUCCAACAGGUGAGGAAUGCUGAUGUCCAUAUCCACAGAAUGGCAGCCCAUUCUAUCUACAAAGGAUUGAUUGCAAGUGCUAUAAUAGAAGAAACUCAACCACAGACAUAAUAUUUGAGCCAUGUCUUGAAAAGGGUUGGUUUUCAAAGGAAGAAAGAACAAGGAAGGAAAACAUUCCAGAUACUGAGUGUAUCCAGUCUGUACAUGAAAGAGCAUAUUACAUGCUGUUUUAAAGAAGUAGAAAGCUGCCCCAUAAAGCUAGGAAGAACAAGCAGGACAUGAAACUGGAAAGCUGAGCUGGUUUAAUGAAUUUAAUCCUGCAGAAAACAAAGAACCACAAGGGACUUUGAUGAAAAGAAAAUAACAUGAUUCCAGUUGUGUAACGGAAAGAUCACUAUGGAGAAUGGGUUUGUAGGGCAACAGCCCAAAGGGAGUGAAAUCAAGUAAGAGAUUCCCAAGAUCAGAUUAGAGAAGAUGAUGUCUGAACUAAGACAAUGACAGUUACUGAAUAAUAGAGAUUGAGUUGAGAAAUAAUUUAGAGGCAGCAUCUACCAUAUGUGGUCACUGACUACACCUUGGGAUAAGAGUUGACCCUGAGGUUUUCAGUUUGGUGGUAAACCAGAUGAAUACACCAUUAACUAAAAGAAGAACUACAGAAAAAGAAUAAAUAUAUUGGGGAAGCAGAGGAUGAGGAUUUGGAGAAAGUUGGAGAUUGUGGACAUGAUUCUAGACAGAGAAAACACCAAGAGAAUACCAAUCCUGAGAGGGCAGGGCAAAGGGAAGGAACCAAUACAGAAAGUCUAUGAAGAAAGGUUAUAACCAUAGAGAAUAACAUAUUGGGAGUCAAGAGAGCAGAGAGUUUUCAGAAGGAGGAAUUAAAGAUUUGUGCCAAUAUCACAGAGUGGUCAAGUAAGAAAGCUAGGAGAAAGCUGGUUUAAUCUUCUAACCCCAGGACUUGGGGAGAGGCAGAAUGGACAGCAUUCCCUCCAGCUGGGUUUGAGGAAGGGAGUGCCAUCAGAGCAAAUUCAUGUUUUGGGUAAGCUGAGAAGGCAAAAGGAGCACUCUAUAGAAAGUUUAACGAUCUGGGGGAAAAUUAAAGAUCCAGUAUUGCAAUGGACAUGUUUGAGAGGAGAGCCAGUGGGUGGAGGAGAGAGAGGUCACUAGACCACCAAGAAAGGACAAGACCAUCCUGGAUAAAGACAGAGCAUGAGAGGAUUAAUAAUGAGGGAAUUCUGAUUCUUUUUAUCUUUGUCUUAAGUGAAAUAAUUC